UACGUAGGGGGCAAGCGUUUGUCCGGAUUUAUUGGGCGUAAAGAGCGUGUAGGCGGCCAGGUAGGUCCGCUGUGAAAACCCGAGGCUCAACCUCGGGACGUCGGCGGAAACCAUUUGGCUAGAGUCCGGAAGAGGAGAGUGGAAUUCCCGGUGUAGCGGUGAAAUGCGCAGAUAUCGGGAAGAACACCCGUGGCGAAGGCGGCUCUCUGGGACGUACGUGACGCUGAGACGCGAAAGCGUGGG
rnacentral:rRNA from 1 species